UACGAAGGGGGCGAGCGUUGUUCGGAAUUACUGGGCGUAAAGGGCGCGCAGGCGGCUCUGAAAGUCAGAUGUGAAAGCCCCGGGCUUAACCCGGGAACUGCGUCCGAUACUGGGAGGCUUGAAUCCGGGAGAGGGAUGUGGAAUUCCAGGUGUAGCGGUGAAAUGCGUAGAUAUCAGGAGGAACACCGAUGGCGAAGGCAGCUCGCUGGGACGGUACUGACGCUGAGACGCGAAAGCGUGGGGAGCAAACAGG
rnacentral:rRNA from 1 species